AAAGUCGUAACAAGGUUUCCGUAGGUGAACCUGCGGAAGGAUCAUUAUAGAAUUGAAUAGAAUGCAAUUGAAAUUAUAGAUAUUUGAGGUGGGUUAUACUCUAUCUCUUGUGUCUUUGAUUUCAUUGUAUUUCUUUUAUAUUCAUACUCGCACUACGUUGGGCUUGUCCUGAUGGAGUGUUAUUAUUUAGAAUCAUUUAUUUGUAAUAUAUUAGUCUUUUUUUGUGCGUUGGAGUGGUUAUACUGCUUUGAUGCUAUAAUAACAAAAUAACAACUUUCAGCAACGGAUCUCUUGGCUCUC
rnacentral:misc_RNA from 1 species